AGUUUGAUCAUGGCUCAGGAUGAACGCCGGCGGUGUGCCUAAUACAUGCAAGUCGUACGCACUGGCCCAACUGAUUGAUGGUGCUUGCACCGGAUUGACGAUGGAUCACCAGUGAGUGGCGGACGGGUGAGUAACACGUAGGUAACCUGCCCCGGAGCGGGGGAUAACAUUUGGAAACAGAUGCUAAUACCGCAUAACAACAAAAGCCACAUGGCUUUUGUUUGAAAGAUGGCUUUGGCUAUCACUCUGGGAUGGACCUGCGGUGCAUUAGCUAGUUGGUAAGGUAACGGCUUACCAAGGCGAUGACGCAUAGCCGAGUUGAGAGACUGAUCGGCCACAAUGGAACUGAGACACGGUCCAUACUCCUACGGGAGGCAGCAGUAGGGAAUCUUCCACAAUGGGCGCAAGCCUGAUGGAGCAACACCGCGUGAGUGAAGAAGGGUUUCGGCUCGUAAAGCUCUGUUGUUGGAGAAGAACGUGCGUGAGAGUAACUGUUCAUGCAGUGACGGUAUCCAACCAGAAAGUCACGGCUAACUACGUGCCAGCAGCCGCGGUAAUACGUAGGUGGCAAGCGUUAUCCGGAUUUAUUGGGCGUAAAGCGAGCGCAGGCGGUUGCUUAGGUCUGAUGUGAAAGCCUUCGGCUUAACCGAAGAAGUGCAUCGGAAACCGGGCGACUUGAGUGCAGAAGAGGACAGUGGAACUCCAUGUGUAGCGGUGGAAUGCGUAGAUAUAUGGAAGAACACCAGUGGCGAAGGCGGCUGUCUGGUCUGCAACUGACGCUGAGGCUCGAAAGCACGGGUAGCGAACAGGAUUAGAUACCCUGGUAGUCC
rnacentral:rRNA from 1 species